GAUGAACGCUGGCGGCGUGCCUAAUACAUGCAAGUCGAGCGAACGGACGAGAAGCUUGCUUCUCUGAUGUUAGCGGCGGACGGGUGAGUAACACGUGGAUAACCUACCUAUAAGACUGGGAUAACUUCGGGAAACCGGCGAUAAUACCGGAUAAUCUUUUGAACCGCAUGAUUCAAAAGUGAAAGACGGUCUUGCUGUCACUUAUAGAUGGAUCCGCGCUGCAUUAGCUAGUUGGUAAGGUAACGGCUUACCAAGGCAACGAUGCAUAGCCGACCUGAGAGAGUGGUAGGCCACACUGGAGCGGAGACACCGUCCAGACGCCUACGGGAGGCAGCAGUAGGGAAUCUUCCGCAAUGGGCGAAAGCCUGACGGAGCAACGCCGAGUGAGUGAUGAAGGUCUUCGGAUCGUAAAACUCUGUUAUGAGGGAAGAACAUAUGUGUAAUUAACUGUGCACAUCUUGACGGUACCUAAUCAGAAAGCCACGGCUAACUACGUG
rnacentral:rRNA from 1 species